GACGUAGGGUGCGAGCGUUGUCCGGAUUUAUUGGGCGUAAAGCGCUCGUAGGCGGCUCGUCGCGUCAGCUGUGAAAACCCGCGGCUUAACCGUGGGCUUGCAGCUGAUACGGGCGGGCUAGAGUUCGGUAGGGGAGACUGGAAUUCCUGGUGUAGCGGUGAAAUGCGCAGAUAUCAGGAGGAACACCGGUGGCGAAGGCGGGUCUCUGGGCCGAUACUGACGCUGAGGAGCGAAAGCGUGGGGAGCGAACAGG
rnacentral:rRNA from 1 species